UCCCUUUCCUCGUGAUAAUCACUUCUUUUAUGGACUGAAAGCACUUUGUGCUUUUUCCUCUGUAAUCCUAGUUGAUUAUACAGUAUCUUCAUUGUUGCUCGGUGUAUAAGUCUUCGAGGUUUCAGCUGCACUCUCCAAAUCAUGAUGAGCUUCAACCAUGGCCACUGACGAAACCUCAGGCAUUUCAGCUGGUAUUUUGAACAAAUUUAUUUACUGCCUUUAUUAUAAUGUUGUCGGACAGUUGUGCAUCUAGAUGAUCUGAUGGAGUUUACACUUCAGAGUCACUGGGAAUGCCAAAGAUGUAUUUGUCUCUCAUUCAUUAAGAAGGAAAAAAGAAAGAAAAUGUAACUAAUUGAAGAGUCUGGAUGACAAUUAUCUUUUUCAAACCCCACCAUCUUCCUGGAGUCUGCGUUGUCCCCUUCCAGAAUAGAUGUGGAGUUUUUAAACGAACCUACAGUAGAAGCAAGCCUUCUCCAGGAAAUCCCAAUCUUUUUCCAAACAGGAACAGCAAGGGUUCUCUCUGUUGUGGCUGUUUUUCCCUCUGGGAAUUGGUUUGCCUUCUGAGAGCAUCCCAGGGAGGGGAGGUGCGCCCCAAAUUGGCGAGGCUCUGCCAAAUACCAAAGGCUUUUCUUUGGGAGGAGACUCCUCCUUUGGACGUGAGGCGCCCCUACCAGAGCGCCCGCGUACAGAAACGGAAACCACUAGCUGCGCUGAAGUGAGUCAAGUGAUGAAAUCAAGACUACACGGGAAGGAAGCUCACGAAACCUAACUGGUGACAGAAGCUGCUGAACCCUGCCCGAGGAAACCACAUGAGCCAGCAGUUGCUGCCCUCCCGAAGUGGUCCUCGAAGGCAGCGCACCCCUUCAUUUUGGCGAACCGAGGAGGAAGGGAGGAAGCGUGUGGGGAAAAUCUAGAACUUCUGUUUCCCCAAGGACCCAGCAGACUGCUCUGGCUACAAGGUGAUCACUGCCACCAGGUCAGUGCAGGAUUCCUUCAAUGUAGACCGGCCGGAAGCCACAACUUGCGCGGAGCAGCAGCCUCGCCGACCGCGCAGAGAGAAGCCGCGCAACAGCCAGGUUUGGCCCGGACGGCGCCCCCACCCCGCGCGCGCGGUCAACGGUUCUCACCUGGAGCGCUCAGGUAGUGCUGGGGCGGGGCGGGAGGCUGGCGCGCAGGCGCGGGAGCGGGGCCUCGCCCCUGCCGACGUCGCAGACCGCAGCUCACCUGGGAGACUCCAAGAGGAAGCCGAGCCGCGGUUCUGCCUCUCCAGGCAACGCGGGAGGCCCAGCGGGAAGGCAGGAGGCGGCGGCGGAGGAGGAGCUCUACUUAGCCGCAACUGUAGCGACAGCAACCGGAGUCGCAGCGGCAGCCACCUGCACCUGGAGCCCAGCCCACGUCCAGCGCCCGCCCGGCCGCCGCUUCCCGCCGCCCUGCCCUGCCCAGCCCACCCGUCAGGUACUACCAUUUAAAGAUACCUUCUUCUCAGCAAAUCUAUGAUAAAAAAUAUAAGUAACAGAAGAAAUAACUGUUAUUUGUCAAGUGACAAGCUUUUAAUGUCAGAAUGGCUCACCUAAAGCGACUAGUCAAAUUACACAUUAAAAGACAUUACCAUAAAAAGUUCUGGAAGCUUGGUGCAGUAGUUUUUUUCUUUAUUAUAGUUUUGGUGUUAAUGCAAAGAGAAGUAAGUGUUCAAUAUUCCAAAGAGGAAUCAAGGAUGGAAAGAAACAUGAAAAACAAAAACAAGAUGUUAGAUUUAAUGCUAGAAGCUGUAAACAAUAUUAAGGAUGCAAUGCCAAAAAUGCAAAUAGGAGCACCUGUCAGGCAAAACAUUGAUGUUGGUGAGAGACCUUGUUUGCAAGGAUAUUAUACAGCAGCAGAAUUGAAGCCUGUUCUUGACCGUCCACCUCAGGAUUCAAAUGCACCUGGUGCUUCUGGUAAAGCAUUCAAGACAACCAAUUUAAGUGUUGAAGAGCAAAAGGAAAAGGAACGUGGGGAAGCUAAACACUGUUUUAAUGCUUUCGCAAGUGACAGGAUUUCUUUGCACCGAGAUCUUGGACCAGACACUCGACCUCCUGAAUGUAUUGAACAAAAAUUUAAGCGCUGCCCUCCCCUGCCCACCACCAGUGUCAUAAUAGUUUUUCAUAAUGAAGCGUGGUCCACGUUGCUUAGAACUGUCCACAGUGUGCUCUAUUCUUCACCUGCAAUACUGCUGAAGGAAAUCAUUUUGGUGGAUGAUGCUAGUGUAGAUGAGUACUUACAUGAUAAACUAGAUGAAUAUGUAAAACAAUUUUCUAUAGUAAAAAUAGUCAGACAAAGAGAAAGAAAAGGUCUGAUCACUGCUCGGUUGCUAGGAGCAACAGUCGCAACAGCUGAAACGCUCACAUUUUUAGAUGCUCACUGUGAGUGUUUCUAUGGUUGGUUAGAACCUCUGUUGGCCAGAAUAGCUGAGAACUACACAGCUGUUGUGAGUCCAGAUAUUGCAUCCAUAGAUCUGAACACGUUUGAAUUCAACAAACCUUCUCCUUAUGGAAGUAACCAUAACCGUGGAAAUUUUGACUGGAGUCUUUCAUUUGGCUGGGAGUCACUUCCUGAUCAUGAGAAGCAAAGAAGGAAAGAUGAAACCUACCCAAUUAAAACACCCACUUUUGCAGGAGGACUUUUUUCCAUAUCAAAAGAAUAUUUUGAGUAUAUUGGAAGUUACGAUGAAGAAAUGGAAAUCUGGGGAGGUGAAAAUAUAGAAAUGUCUUUCAGAGUAUGGCAAUGUGGUGGGCAGUUGGAGAUUAUGCCUUGCUCUGUUGUUGGACAUGUUUUUCGCAGCAAAAGCCCUCAUAGCUUUCCAAAAGGCACUCAGGUGAUUGCUAGAAACCAAGUUCGCCUUGCAGAAGUCUGGAUGGAUGAAUACAAGGAAAUAUUUUAUAGGAGAAAUACAGAUGCAGCAAAAAUUGUUAAACAAAAAGCAUUUGGUGAUCUUUCAAAAAGAUUUGAAAUAAAACACCGCCUUCAGUGUAAAAAUUUUACAUGGUAUCUGAACAAUAUUUAUCCAGAGGUGUAUGUGCCAGACCUUAAUCCUGUUAUAUCUGGAUAUAUUAAAAGCGUUGGUCAGCCUCUAUGUCUGGAUGUUGGAGAAAACAAUCAAGGAGGCAAACCAUUAAUUAUGUAUACAUGUCAUGGACUUGGGGGAAACCAGUACUUCGAAUACUCUGCUCAACAUGAAAUCCGGCACAACAUCCAGAAGGAAUUAUGUCUUCAUGCUGCCCAAGGCCUCGUUCAGCUGAAGGCAUGUACCUACAAAGGUCACAAGACAGUUGUCACUGGAGAGCAGAUAUGGGAGAUCCAGAAGGAAGUAUCCACAAGCCUCAGAGCCAAUCAGAUCAUCACACCGAGGAAGAAAUAGACUAGCGAUUCUUCAUCAUGAUCUUUAAAGAGCAGCCAUACUGACACCAUAAGAGUUCCAAGGUCAGUACUCACCUAAUGCUGGAUAGCUAAGGAAGAGGCAGGACCCGACCUUUAGUGAAACCUAACAUUCAAGAAUGGAAAGACUUCAGGAAGAGGGAAGUCUAUGUAUCAAGGUAGUGAAACAGAAAUUAAUGGGGCUUAUUCAGGGGGAAAAUAUAUCCACUAUUUUGCUUGCUUAUAGAAGUAAGUAUAUAGAAAUAAUGGGAUAAUGUGGGAAAGGUUGGCCUAGACUAGGGGAAGAUACCUUGAGCGCCAGGAUAAAGAGAUAGAACCAAACUAAGAUAAUUCCACUUUUGUCCUGGAUUUUCCCUAAGUCCCGGAGUGAAGUUGAACAAUUUACUUCACUCCUAGUGCUCCAGGAUGCUUUACAAUAAUAAGAUAUAUUGAAGUUGAUUUCUAUAGAAAGUGUUUUAUUUGGGGUAAUGCUUUUUUUCAUGAAUAACUAUACAAGUUUCCAAUUAUUACUAUAACAAAUUACCACCAACUUAGUGGCUUAAAACAACACAAAUGUAUUAUUUUAUAGUUCUGGUCGUCAGAAGUCUAAAAUCAAGAUGUUGCAGAGCAUCAUUCUUUUUGAGGGUGUUAGAAACAAUCUGAGAAUUUAUCUCCUUGCCUUUUCUAUCUUCUAGAUAUUGCCUGCAUCUUCUAGAUGUUGCCUGCAUCCUUUGACUAAUGGCUCUCUCUCCCCUAUCUUCAAAGUGCAUCAUCAUCACACCUUUUUCUGGCUUCAUCAUCACAUCUGUUUCUGAUUUUGAUCCUCUUGCUUCCCUCUCAUAAGGGCCCUUAUAAUAACAUUGUGACCACCUGCAUAACCAAAUAACCUUCCUUCUCAAGAUCCUUCACCACAUCUGCAAAGUCCCUUUGCCACUGAAGGUAACAUGUUCAUAGGUUCUGGGGACAGCAAUGAGGACAUUUUUGGAGGACCAUUAUUUAGCCUAUCCCAGUUACCUAUUGAUUUCCUAGAACACUUAAUAUAUAUGUUAUGAAUGCAUCUCAUUCUAGACCUCCAGGAAUGGAGUCUAGAAAUAGGCAUUUUAAAUAAACUUCCCCAAGUCUGAAGUGCACUGCUGUGAGAAAAGGCACGUCACUAAAGAUCUUUUAGGAUAAGUAGAGGAAUGAAAUUAGUACAACAGUGCUUUAAGAUAAGCAUUGACACUUUCAAAAUCAUGCAAAAGUUAACUAAUAUUAGGAGUUGUUGAGUUUUUUGUUUGUAGUCAUUAUUUAUUUAUGUAUUUAUUUAUUUUUAUAAGAUUCUGCAUAGAAUUUGGGUCAAAAAAAGGAAAUCAGAAGGCAGUUGGUUUGGGUGUGAUAGGGUAGGCAAGCCUGCUCUUCUAAUCUAGGAAUUACCCUGUUUAUUCAACUCCUUUGCUCCUUGGGGGAAUCACUGCUUCAUAAAACCAUUUUCCUAUGACAUUGCCUGCCAGCAAGGAACCCUCUCAAACCCUGUUGCAGUCUGAAUAUAGACACAUACUGUGACAGCACCCAGGCACGUGGAAAGAGAUUCAAAGCAAAGUCCUGAAUGGCAAGAUCUCCCUUCUCCCAUUAGAGAUGACCUCAGUUACAGAGUGAUGCCUUGUUCAAAAGCACAACCUUCCUUAGCUAUCCACAUCCAAUGACUGAUCAUGGAGGACAUAUAAAGAUCUGAAAAGUUUGGCUCACUAGGGGACAACACCAAAGAGUCAUACGGCUCUGGAGUUCUCUGAGGGUUGGGCUGAGGCUCUGUCAGGCCUGCUUCAUAAUUCAACUUGUCUCUCUGUUCAAUUGCUUCCUCCUCCUGGCUUCCACAGCUUUUGAAACUUAAUAAAUACCUUGCAAGUCCAACUCCAUUUCAGAGUCUUUAAAAACCCAAUCUGACAUUUGGUAUCAGAUUGGUCCAAAAAUGAAGUUGAUAAGAUAAAUUUUGAAGCUUUAUCAUUUGUCACUUGGCUAGUAAUGUGGACCCCAUCACUGAUGGUACUGAGGUACAAACAAUCCAAUGGAAAUGAAAAGACCCUGAAACAACAGAGGAUAGGAGGUGCCACAUAAUUGCUGAAAAGCAGGUGGAUGCAAUUAUCAUAAUGAGCAGCAGAGCCAGAGUGGCAGCCAGUAGGGCCUGACCCACAGAGAGUCGUAGAGAUGGUUAAUAGAAACUCAUAACCCCGGGGGUAAAAUAGAUGGGCAGCCAACAAGGAGACUUUGGUUUAUACCAUCACAAGAAAUUAAGGUAAAUAAUUAGAAGCCCCAGUUAGUGAAGGAACGCACCCCAAUAAGAUAGUCAUGCCAAUAAGAUGUCAUAGUCCUUUGCUCACUUUCCAGAUAUGAGUUCAUUUUCAGACCCAGGACCCACUGACUGAACAAAUGGCCAGGUCCCUAGGAAGAAAGACCCAGCGACACUAUGCAAGUAUAUAUGAUAAUGAUUCCCCCAGUCCAUCUUUAAAAGUACCUACAACUGUUUACUUGGGUGACUACGUACAAGGGAAAGGGGAACACUCAAAACAUUUUGGGACUGUUUGACACUGGGUCUGAGUGAACACUGAUACCCGGAGAACUGAAGCCUUACCAUGCAUGGGGCCCUCCUGUUCUAAAGUGGGAGCGUGUAGAAACCAGGUAAUGAACAGACUCCUGGCAGAGAUCUGGCUUGCAGUAAGUCCACUAGGUCUGAGGACCCACGCAGUGGUCAUUUUCCCUGGCUGCAAGUAUGUAAUUGAAGUUCUUAUGUUUGGAAUAUAUGCAAUCCCAACAUUGAACCUUUAGUGAGUCGGACAGAACCUAUAGAAGUGGGGAGAGCCAAGUAGGUGUUUCUGAAACUGUUUGUAUCCCCCACCCAAAUCAAGGUAGUACAUAAAAUACAGGGGGAAUAGCGGAAAUUAUUAGUACCUUUAGGAACCUAAAAGAUAUAGGGGUAGUGGUUGCUAUCAUAUCCCUACUUAAGUUAUCUUAAUGCAGUGACUUGCUCUUGUAGAACACAGAUGGAUCCUGGGAAAUGAGAGUAGAUUAUUGCAAAUUCAAUCAAGUGGUCACCUCAAUUGCAGUUGCUGUGCCAGAUGUAGUAUCUUUGCUAGAGUGGGUUAACCAACCUCAGUCACAUGGAUGAGGUUAUGUAAAUGGCAAAUGUGUUUCUUUCUAUUCCAAUUAGAAAAAGAGGAUCAGAAAGUGUUUGCAUGUGCAUAGAAUGGGCAACAAUAUAUAUUUACUUUUGUAUUCUGUCAUAAUAUAGUACAAAGUGAUCUCAACUCUCUAGAUUUCCAACAGAAUACCACUCCUUUAUGGUAUUAUGCUAAUUAGGCCAGAUGAGCAAUAACUUGUCAACAUGCUGGUGGCAUUGGUGAAACACACACACAGUGGAGGAUGGGAGAUAAACCCUUUGAAGAGUUAGGAGCCUGCCACACUAAUAUAGUCUUUAGGCAUUCUGUGGUGUGGGGAGUUCAGGAUGUCUCUUCCAUAGUAAAGAUACAUUAUUACAUGCUGCAACUCCCACCGUGAAAAGAGAAGCACAACACUUGAUAUGCUUCUUUAGGUUCUAGAUGUGACAACGUAUUUCUCAUUCAGGAAUACUGCUCUGACCCGUAUGUUGGGCAAUGUAAAAGGCUGCCAGCUUUGAGUGAGACGUAGAGCAGGGAAAAUCUCAGUAGGAGGUAUUGGUUGCAGUCCACCAAGUCCUGUUGUUGGGUCAUGUGAGCCAGCAGACACCACGAUAUUAGUGGUAGCAGUGGUGGGAAAAGAUGCUGUGUGGAGGUUAAGUGCCAGUGGUAGAAUCCCAACGUAGGCUAUGGGAUUAAAGCUUUGCCAUUUGUAGCAGUAAUGUGUAUGCCUUUUGAGAAACAACUCCUGAUAUAUUACUGAAGCCUCAUAAGAGAUUACGUGCCUGCUAUGGGACACCAAGGCACUGAACCUGUAGAACCACGUAUCUUAAGGCAGGGCUAGCAGCACUUUAUUUUAAGAGGUGGAUUCUAGAAGUAGAAAACUUGGAUCAAGCAUAAAUAGGACUGGAAGACACAAAAAAGCUGCAUGACAAGAUAGUCCCAUCUUCCAUGUCAUUUGCCAUCAUUUUCCCUGAACCUCUUCCUCAGCACAUCCCUCACUCCAUAUGGAGGAUGCCACAUGGCUCACUUCUGGAGGAGGAAAAAGCCUUCAGAUUUGGUUUAUAGAUGGGCUGGUUUAGUAGGUGGAUGCCAAACAAGCCAAAAAUCCAUGGCAGCUACACUGCAAUCUUGCUCAGGAGUAGCUCACGGGGCUAGAGAAAAAUCCUUAAAAUAGGCAGAGCUUUAAGGUCCACUUUGUGAUUCUCUUUGUGUGGAAGAAUAAAUAGGAGCUCUGUUAGAAUAUAUAUGGACUGAUGGGUAGAAGUGAAUAGCCUGGCUCAGGAUGCUGAAAGCAGAGAUAUUAGAAGAUUGGGGAAUAGGAGGCUUGGAGUAUAAGCAUGUGAAUGACUUGUGAGAGAGGACACAAAGUGUGAAGAUCUUUGUGUUACAUGUUAACACCUAUCAACUAGAGAGCAACCACCACAGAAGACACACUAAACAACAGUGUGCACCUGUGUUGUCCAAUAUUGUAUGCACUAGCCACACAUGGCUACUCCAAACUGAAAUGUGCUGUAAUUGCAAAAUACACUGGAUUUCAAAGACUUAGUCUUCCAAAAAGGAUGUAAAAUGUCACCAAUAAUUUUUAUAUUGAUUACAUGUUGAAAUCUUUGGUAUAUUGGGUUAAGUGAAAUAUAUUAUUAAAUUAAUUUUAUCUUUUUGUUAACUCUUUUUAAGGUGACUAUAAGAACACUUAAAAUUGCAUAUGCAGCUCACAUUAUAUUUGUUUUUGAUAGUAUUAAUACAGACAGAAUAACUUGGCUGUUUGGCAGCAAGCAGCCAGCCUCAGUUAUUGGCUACUCCAGGGUUGCUGUGAUAGGUACAUGGAUUGGGUGGCACGAAGGCUCUCCUUGGGUCCAUGAGCAUGGCCUGCCACUUACCAAGACUGAUAAAGUUCCCGCUGCUGCCAGAUGCACAGUUUGCCAGCAACAGAGACGGAUGCUGGGCCCUCCAUAUGCCACUACUCUUCUGGAGCCUAAGCAGACACUUGUUGGCAGAUUGAUAACAUUGGGCCCCUUCCAUCUUAAAAGGGCCAGAGAUUUUUUUGUGUUUUUAUUUGUUGUUUGUUUUAAAUAAAAAUAGACAUAUAUUCCAAGUAUAAGUUUGCCUUUCUUACCUGUAGGGCCUUGGCUAACACCAUUAUUCAAGGACUUACAGUAUAUUUGACCUACUCACUUAGGAUCCCACAUAACAUCAUAUCAGAGCAGGUGAACUAAUUUACAGUAAAGGAGGUGUGGCAUUGGGCACAUGACCAUGAGACCCACUGAUCAUAUCACAGACUUCAAAGCUCCUGGCCUGACAGAGCAUUGACUGGCCUGUAGAAGGUGCAGUUGAAGUCCAAGUUUGGAGAUGAUGUUCUGCAAGAAUAGGUUACUAUCCUCCAGGAUCCAGUAUAGACAUUGAAUCAAAAACCUUUACAUUAUAAUAUGUCCCCCAUAGGAAUAACACAUGGGUCCAAACUCCAUUGGGUGGAAGCAGGAAUGGCUCCAGUUAACAUGACCCACAGGAGAAAACUGUGGUUCCUAUUCCACAACUUUGUAGGGUUAAAUGUCUUUGCAGUCUUAGAGGUCCUAGUCCCCAAAGAGGUCACACUUUUAUCAGGGGACUAAAGAGUCCCAUUGGACUUAAGCUAUUGCUACAUCCUAGGAUUUUUAGGCAAGGAGAAAAAAUACCUCACCAUCUUGGUAGAGGUAUUUGACCUUGAUCCUCAGGAAGAGAUGGGCCUACUGCUACAUAAUAGGUGCAGGAAGUAAUAUUCACUUAGGUGCCUUUUGGCUUUGGGUCACACCACCAAGUAAGCCAUUGAGGCUAGCAACUGUGUUUGCUGAAGCCGAGAGGAAUGUAGAAUUAAUAGUGAGAGAGGGAGAUGGUCAGUUUUAGCUAUGGCUUUAGGACCAGCCAGAGUGGCAGGAACUGUAAUUUAUUUUACUAACCUUGGUCCUUUAAGUUUUCCCCAGGGAGAGAGGCCCACCAGAAUCCUGAAGGAGUUGUUCCCUGAAAUUUAAGUGAUGACAUGAAUAUGAGGACCUGACGGAUGGACAUGGAAGACACAGAGCUGUUCUACCUUCAAAAAUUCCCUUUCAAGGAAGGACUUGUCCCAGGUCCUAAGAGUGCUGUCAGAAAAACAUCCUCCAACUUUCAGCUCUUUUCAGGCUUUCUCCUCACUGCAGAGUGCCAGCUCAUCUCAGAGCACUCCCUUUCUGGGGCGGAAGACAUCCAGAGACUGACUGUGGAGUGGCUAUAUAGGCCCAGCCAUUUCAGCCCGCGAGGGGAUGACUCAGAGGAUCCCUUAUCCUCUAGAGCACUCCAGUGGGGUCGGUCUGCAUCACAGCCUGAUUUCUGUCUUUUCCUAAUCUGCUUCCUCCCACUGGCUCCCACAAGAAUUGAUUCCUCAUGGAAAUCCUGCAUGCUAAACUCCAUCUCAGAGUCGUGUGCUUAUGGCAAACAUAGCCUGAAACACUAGCCUUUCUAAAGCUUCGGUCCUCUCUGUUAUUUAGUUCCUUCUAUAUAUAUAUUCUCCCUGUAAAAUUCUCAUUCGCUCCAAAUCUCAUAUCUUUGUCUAAGCUCUAGACUUACAUUUCCUUCUGUCCAUUUGUUAUUUUCACUGAGUAUCCCAGCAUCAAUUUAAGCUGUUCAAAAUGAACACAUCUCUUCCUCCUUAUAACAUUCUAAUUUAUGCUGAUGAUGUCUAUCUUCUUAUGUCCUUCUCCAUAUUCCACCUAUGGUAUUUUGGCUCAUAAUUAUUUUGUUACCUUUAAUCUCUCACAUCAUAAUAGGCUUUCAAAUAGCUUUUUCUCUGCUGUAAUUACCCACAUCUUUCUACUUGCUUGUCUAGAGGGACUCUGCCUGUCUUUUGCCCCAGUGCCUCCUCUGAGUGUAGCACAUUCUUGCACAGGAUCCUAAAUCAGAGUAGGUUCUCAACUCUUAAUUUUUUCUAAUGAACAGUGACUGCAAUAGCGACUGGAAAGAUUUUUACUCCGGCAUUUCCAUCCUCCCAAACUGUCUGUGCACUGUAGCCACACUGAUAUUCCACACUGCAAAUCACUCUUAUUUGAUUGAUUUUCCUUUUCUAAAAUCUUCAGGAUUUCCUGAAGGAAAUAUCCUGAUUUCCCUAAGGAUAUAAGCCAGAUUCCUUGGGUUGGUCUUUAAAGCUUUGCACUCUCUAAAUUCACUCUCCUCACCUGAUUUGUCAUUUGUUCCUGAGAGUAAAUGAUCUGUUCUUAACCAGGUCCUUCUGCCCCCGACCAGAAGAGUGAUUUUGUUCUGAUCAGCCUUUCCUCAAAUUGCUCCAUAAUGUGGACCAUGGGGGUGCCCCUGCUAGUUGAAAUUCUCCCUCUCUCUCUGAAUCUGACACCUUUUCCACGGUUUCAGCCAGCCAUCUUUCCCUCAUCUGAACUCCUGUACAGGAGUGGACUUUGCAUCACUCAUUUUUGUACUUUGCAUACAUCAGUAAAUGUAUUUUUAAGCAUCUACCGUGUUUUAAACACUAAGCUGAAUGCUGAGAAGACAGAGAGUAAUGAGAAGAGUUUUCUGUUCUCAGAAAGUACUGAGGGGGAGUAGGUGCAUAAAUAAGCAAGUGCAGUGAGACUCGAAGGGGCUCUAACACAUGUCUGCUUUGUAUAAAACAACAGGCAAUCGAUUUUCAGGAAUACUGGAAGGGCAACAUAAAGGAAGGAAUAUUUUGAGUUUUCUCUUGAAAAAUAAAUAGAUGGUCAUUAGAAUUGUGCUGUCAGGAUAGGUUUAUGGGGUGUAUAUUCUUGGCAGAAGAGACAAGCUGAACAGAAGCAGGGAAAAAUGGAGUAGCAGGUGAAAUCUAAGGAACCGCUCUUGUGGGCAGUGGAGGACAUGGGAAGUAAAGGGAGAGCUUGUACCCAGAUCUCAGACGACCUUGUGAGGCAUUCCAAGGAGUUUGAAUUUUGUUUUAUUGGCAGUGAGGAGAAAACACCACACAAGAUUUUUAAUUCAGUGAAUAACAUGUUCAAAUUUGAGUUUUAGGAUGAUUGCACAAUCAUAUUAUUAUUUGCUUUUAAAAAUAUAGAUCCAGUUUCUAAAUAUAAAACAAGUUGUUGGAAGAAAGUGUGUUGCAUAUGAUAGGAGAUUUUAAAAAAUUCAAUUUUUUUCCUUCAUCCUACUGCCAAUAAAAGUUAAGUUUUAGUUACUUUAAGCCAGCAGCUUUAAACAGAUGGGCAUAUAUACGUACCCAUGCGUACGCAUAUAUUCUAAACAUCAAAUCACACAGAUUCUGCUUUAAGCAAAGCAAAACAAAAAUACUACGAAGCAGUUAAGUUAAGGAUACUACUUACAAGAGAUUGAAUUUGUCCUUGUAAAAAUAUCCUCCAAAUUUCAUUUACAUAGAGAGUUCUCCUCCGGCCCUUGUGUUUGUUUACGCAUCAUCACUUGAUGAAGGGGUUGAAUAGCUGAGAAAGUAAAGUGUUAUAAGCAUCUUCACUUAGGGAUGAAUCCUAAUAAAGUUAACACAUCUUUGAAAUGACAAUGUAAUGAACCAUUUCACAGGAACUGGCUUCACACACAACUUUUCAAGAAUAGUAUCUGUUACACAGUGGAAGGGAGGUAUCCUUGUGUGUGCUGGGACAGCGUUAAGGGAUUGCAGCUCAGGAUGUAAGAACAAAGGUUUUACACAACACACAACAGAAAUGCAACAGUAGAUACAACUUAGAAACCGGUUUUACUCUGCUGCAAACAGAUGGACAAGAUAUUGUACAAUAUGUAAUAAAAAGUACAGCAUAAUACAAGUGCCACUAAUCAAAGAAACUUAAGGAUAAGACUUAAAAAUGCUUAUUUGUUAUAUAUAUAUACACACUGCAAUAAAAAGCCACAAUAAAUACACGAAUUUCCAUGUCAUUCAUAAUAAAUACUGAAAAUAUAAAUACAGAAGACUACAGCUAAUAUGAAUAAAUUAUUACAACAUAAGGUCCAGGUUAAGUUCUGUUGAAUAUUAUUGUAGCUUAUUUUAUAUACCCUUUGGCAUUUUUGAUGUUAUAACUUACACACAAGAGAAAUCAAUCUAGAAACUGUGCGACAUACAACAUGACAUCUUAGUGUAACAUGACUGUAUGUGUGGACUGGAGUUGAUUUUCCUCCCUUUCAACCGUUUUAAGUCAUUAGAUUGAACAUAACUAAUAAAUAUCUAUUGAAGUACUGUUGAUAUUGAAUGAAAGUAACAAUAAAAAUCAGCUGAAAGAUAAAACUAACCAUAACAUCACAAAAUACAGUUCAGUGGCUUUUCUGAGUUUUUAAAGUUACUUUUUUUUUUUUUUGCCAGCAACAAACAAAAAGUAAGGAAACAAAUAUUCUCAAAAGACUUCCCUUGUGUAAGGACCAUUCCCAGUAUCUGAAUGGUUCAACACAGACUGAAGGAUAAUACCCAAGUCCUUUGGAUCAUUUGAUCUACCAAUACAUUCAGCUCACUAGAUUCCACCAGAAUUUGCAAAUGUACCAAAUUUCUAUGGCAGUUGGAAAGUGAGACAUAGUUGAUGUCUAAAACUAUGAUCAAGAUGAAGACGCUGCAAAAAGUGACAUAUGUCUAUGCAACCAAUUAUACAUAUUUUUAAAAUGGGAAACAUGUAUUUUUGACAAAUGUCAAAUGAUCUAUCAAAUUGAUAUACCCUGUGACACUGAGGGAAACACACUGAAAGAACAAAGUGCCAUUUUCUGCAUAAACAGGCAUUAACCAGUACAUAUGUAGUAAUAGUUCUAUCUUAAGAGGCUAUUACACCAGAAAUUCAAUAAACUAAAAAUAAAGCAGAUCAACUUUACUAAGACACAAUAAAGGCUGAGGUUCUUAGGAACAGAGCUGUAAUCUACAGGUUUAUUUUUAUUUUUAUUUUUUUACUAUUUCUGUACUGUAAAUUUCUAGCAUUUAUUAUACAUCAAACACUUUUGAAACAUGUUUCACAAACUAUGCCUCAGACUUAUUUCCAUAGAGGUGCCUAGAGUCAAUUAAAACAUGGGCCAAAUUUUAUUCACCAUUCUUUACAUGAUCAUUCUAUAGCAUUAGCCUUUUUUUUUUUUUUUUUUUUAAAUAAAAAGGGUCAUUUCCCCCAGUGUUAUUUGUGGGGAGUAACCACACUGAUGUGGCUGUCAUUUCACAAGAGCGUCCGAGUUGGGGAGAUAUGCAGCUGUACCAAGAUUGAAAAAAAUCCCAUGGAGAAACGAAACAUUGAUUUCAGGGGUGCUCCUCAUCUUCCGGUGAGUUCUGACUCUGAGUUGGGUGUCAACUCUGAGCAGACAAAAAAGGCUCUGAAAGCUCCAGGGAGUGCUUGAAUCAAGUGAUGUAACCAGAAAAAUCACCAUUCUCCAGGACUCCUCCUUCGUUUUCAGGCCUUGUCAAGAAGACAAAUUUUUAAAUCAUUUUCCUGACCCCUGAGAAAGCAAGAAGCCAUUGUUUAAAUAACACAGGGACAAAGGCUGGGAUCAAAUGGUGGCUGUGUAAAUCUCUACAGUCAUUUUAUUCCAUCAGACUCUUCACAACUACUCCUAUCUCCCCCAGGAGGAGUGGAAAAACUUUGGAUUCUUAUUUGCCAUUUUAAGCCAAGGAAAGAUUAAUGAGAAGGUCAUUACUUAGAAGUAAGAAUGUAGAAAAUGCUUACUUUUGUAAUUGUAACUUCUGAGAAAAUGGAACAGUUUAAAAGUCAAGUCAUUUGAUCCUAGUUCUGAUGUUUGUCACUGGGGAUCUGAAACAGUCACUUUUCCUGACAUUACCUACUGACAUAAGAGCAAUCACAAAAACAAACAACAACUUUAUGAAAACCUAAUACAGCCAUAUUUGUCAAAAGCUGGUCAUGUUACUGACCAUUGUCUCUGAAUCCGUGUCUUUCUUUAAAAAUCUGAUUUCUUAGGAGACUUAUGGAACUAUCACGUAGUAGUAAUGUAAUAAUCACCAAAUGUAGGGGGAAACCCAGCUUCCCUUGAAUCCCCUAGUACAAUGGCCCAAAUCACCACAACUGUUGCCAGGUGCCUAACCCUCAAAGACUGGCCAAGAUAUUUUCUUAUUGUGAGAAAACCUAAGAGAGCUGAAUUGUGUUGCCAAGGAAACUGCCUUCCCUAGAGAUGUUAAGAAUAGAUGGCGAUCUCUCCUGUUGGGCAUGCCUGAGUGACAGUCCUCCCUGGCGGUAGAUCGAUGAGCCAUAUGACCUCUGGAGAUCCCCCCUAGUUUCAGGACCAUAAAAUUUGAAGAAUACAGAAGAAUCUCAAACUUUCCAUUAUUCACACACAGUUGGCCAUUGUGAGUAUCUUUGAAAAGAUUAAACAAUUCUGAGAUCCCCAGUUGGCAUGACUAGUGCCAAAUGAAUCAGGGUUCAGAUGGUAACCCAUGGCAGUGUGCUCUAUUUGUUUGAGAUACAAAUGAAAUGACUUUGCCAACUAUUACAUCUUAAAAAUCAGUCACCUUCAGAUAUCAUUUGGAUACCAUUAAACAACUCAAGGACCAACACUAAAUAAAUUAAAAACAAAACAAAAUAACUACCACCACCAGGCAACAAGUUCCUAGGUUAGAUAUUUAGGUUUUUCCAUUUUAGGGUAAUUGAGAUUUGGAUUUUAGCUUUCUCUUCUCUUUUUUAUUAAAUAAAGUUGCAAUAAUGUAUAUAGAUCUUUAAAUUUGUUUUAAAGAGGGGUGGCUUUUUUAAUGGCUAAGGAAAAAAGCUUGGUGACCACAUGAAAAGGAGGAGCAAAACAAAAUUGGAUACGAUGUACUACAAAGGUAGAAAUUUCAAACUCCUUUUCCAUAGGUCCCCUAUGUAGAGACAACAGCAAAACCAUUAUUAGGAAGCCAUGCCCCUGACAAGAAGGGCAGAGGGUAGUAGCCUUAUCCAGUGUGUCUCUGGUAAUACAAGUACCUAGAUAAAUUUAAAAGAAACAUCUUCUAAGUCAUUUUUCUUCAAAAUACUCAUUAAUAAAUACCUUUUAAGAUAAUCCCAAGACAGAUAAAAAUAUUGGGAGAAAAUCAAAAGAGAAAAGAAAGAGAUACUCCAACAAAGAAGCUAUUCUAAAGUUACAACUAAAACUGUUCAAUCAGGUCACAUAAAUUAACUUAGGCAAUUGCAAGGCUAAUUUCUACCAUAAAUUUGUCUCCUUCUAACUCUAAUCAAUAUACGUUAUCUUAAAAAUAUUUAAAUGGCCUCACAUGUCACUAAAAUGAGUUAAUGAAUGAACUUAACUAUCACCGUGGCAAUGAUAAAUAGAGGAAUUACAUCAUUAGCAUGCUGAAUACAAAUGUUGUCCAAAAUAAAUUCUAUCACAUUCCUUUGAAAUUUUAGUCCUGCCAGAAACUUUUAUGAGAGAUGACAUAAGAUGACACAGUGAAGUUGACAGUUCUUGAAUUAUAAGCCAAUGCAAAGGAUCAAAUUUAUAAAAGCAAUUACCCUGUAUAGUGAUAUACUUAUCACAAGUAAAAGAAAGUAGUCACCAACGUGACUUAUAUCUUUGAAAUGACUUCAUUUCCCAUGGAUACAACAAGUAUCUGUAUUUACUAAAAUUCCAGGCUAGAUGUGAAUAUUUUAAAAAUCCACAUAUAAAAGUGAACUGAAACAUAUUGGUUUAGGCUUUGAAUCGGAUCAUAUUCACUCUCCUGGUUCCCAUCAUUCUAUUGGCAUUACCACCCUCAGGAUAGGAAACCCAAGGCAACACAGACUUAGACCAGUCUGAGAACUGAUCAUCAGGUAAAACACAGGUCACAUCAAAUGUUUCAGCUUGAAUUUCUGGAAAAAAAGAAUAAAACAAAACACCUGCAUUGUUUAGGAAGGGGGUCUCACGGUCCAGUUUGAAAAAGCCAAGAAAGGAGUCAAAUAAAAUUUAGAAGUGACUGUUUCAAGGACUCACAUAGAAUAUCUAGAUUUGGUAGGUAAAAUGUUAAAGAAGAGCUUUUUUAAAUGUCUGCACUUUUUACUUUUGACAAUCAUGAAAGUCAUUGAUCAGUUAUUUUAAUAUAAAAUGUGUUUAUAUUUUUUAACAAAACAGUUUCUUUCGAAUGCUGUAGGUGUGUGUUUUCAUUUUCUAAAGCAUCAAAUGACUUAUAGACAGUAAAAAUGUAAUUGAUAUGAAUGUUGGUCAGCAGAAGUGAGCACCAACUGGGCUGAAAGGGUGUCCACAUUGUAGCUGCCCCUUCUAGGUUUGGGGCUGUCGUUUGUAACUCUAGUCUGUAUGGUGUAAUAAGAUCUAGCUUAGCUCUGCUGAGCAUUUUUUAAAAAAUAAUUCCUAGAAGACACCACCACUUAUUAACUUUCAUUGCACCCUCACUUCCGCUCUAAUACUUCCGUAAUUCUAGUGGGUAUUUAAAUUGCUGAUAUUCAAUUAAAUCAAUCAAAUUCUUUACUGCUGUAGAAAACAUCUAUUUUCUGCACAAUUAUAUAUGGUGCAAAGUUAUAGCACUUUGGCUUAGGCAUUUUUGUUAUUCCAGCACUAGUUAGCAGAUUUCAGAAAAAGUAAUGCAAUCAGAAGCUGAAAAUUCAUAUUAGACCUAAGAGUAAUCAAGCCUUUAAACGCUGGGUUUUGGUUGUGAUAAGAAUACAACCAACAGUUCCAAUUUAAAAUUACAGACAAGUCUUGCCUUCGAAAGCCCAAAGGUGCUUCCCAUUUAAGCUUGGUAUUUAAUACACCGGCUACAAUGGCACUGCAAAUUGUCUUCAAGAGAAUGAGGAGCAGAGAUGCCAUUUUAAAGAGAAAUAUUGAGUUAUAUUUGGAGAAAUAGAAGGUUUCAUGACACCUUUUAAAAAGGCAGUCUCCUUUUGGUUUCUGAGAAUACAAAUUUUCCACCUGCUAAUUUGAUGGUUUGUAACUCCAGCUGAAAGUGACAGAGUCUAAUGACGUCUCUGUUUUCCACCUGCUGCAAAUUGAUGUCUUUGGAAUUUGGAACAGGAUUUUGCUAUUUUGAUAGGAUUUUUUUAUAAAUAGAAGUAAGAGUGAUUGUGUUCCACACUGUUGUCUUAAAAGUUUCCUGAAAUGUUUCCUGGAUUAUGCAUGAGUCAAAUCCUCCUUGAAACUGUCUGAUAGGAGUUUGCUGGUGUAAAUUUAGCAUCACUUAUAUAGUUCUAACAUUGAAGAAGCAAUUAAUCACAAAUUUCUUUUCAUUUGAUUCAGUCCUAGCUGGGUCCAGAUUUAAUUCAUACAUUUCAGAUGGAGGGAGAGAGAUGAAGGAAGAUCCAGUGAGUUCUACUAAUUUAGGAAAAGGAAGUUUCUUUUGGUUGCAGCUCACAUAUAAUUAGACAAGAACUGUUGUCAAUUUUUCUAAUAUCACUUGAUAAAAUCACCUAUUAAGAGGAUUUGAGAAAGCUUGAUUAUUUCAUGCCACCCUUCAUUAACAUUAUCCAUUAGAAUUUGUAGUGUUCCCCUCUUUUUACUACCCAAGACAAUUGUUCUAACUCAGCAUGUGUUCUGUAUGUAUUUGUUGAAAGAAAGAAUUGAUACUUAAUAAAUUUUGAAUAUAAAGACUAAAGAGUUAUAAACUUGUGCAACAAUAUCAAAAAUUGAAAUAAAAGAAAUAGUGAUUAGCAAGUUAUAGAAAGUAAAUCAUAGUAUGUUUUCCUGUUUAAUGGUAAUCAUAUCAAAAUUUUGCCUAGAAGUCAUCUAUUAGAGUGUAAAAUUUUAACAUUAACAUAACACUUAACUAUCUCUUUGCUUCUUGAUUAAUUUGUUAACUAGUAUUUUUGCAACCCAUAGUUUCUUUUGUGGGGGAGGGAUUCAGGGAGUAUUGCAGGACCAUAUAUAAUUGUGAAGAUUUUAAUCCUUCUAAGAAACAUGAGUUUCACAUUUUACAUGUGGCUGUCACAUUGGGAAAAUGGUUUUAUCACAAAGAAAUGAUGGGCUUUCAAAAAGUAACUAUAUUAUUCAAUCAACCAAAAGACAUGCGACAAAUGAAUUUUACCCAUGUCUUAAUAAUUAAUGAUCAAGAGAUAAGGGGGAAAACUUAAAUAAAUCUCUUUCAUUGACUUCUUUCUCCCAAAGGAAAUUGGGAAUGACAAAAGAGAUGCAAGCUGCUUCAGCCACUUGACUUUCAAAUAAAUUUGGCCAGGAUUAUAACUGGGAAUUAAGUCUCAUUUAAAGGUAUAGGACUGGUACUAGAACAGCCAGGACCGGAGCAUGAAGCUUUGCAAUUGAUAGUGAAUGACUAAAAAGUUGUGUGUCAAAAAAGACUACAGUUUGGCUAGAUAUACUAUGGGGGCAAUACAACAGCUGCAGGUCAGGUUAUUGUGUCUUGGCAUAAAGAUCUUAAGUAUUCCAACUGGCUGUAUGUAGCUUGAUCCCCAUUUUAAAAAGCUUAGAAGGACUAUAGCACUUUCCUGGCAUGUGGGCAGUUCUUUGUUGAACAGAACGGCUAUUAAUGGAAAAAAAAAAAGUCAGAUGGAACAGUGUGCUCUCUCAGCUUUUCUGGGAAAGGAACUAACAAUGAAAUGAUUCCAUCAUAAGUAUGUUUGCAACUUUGACCUGAUAUUUUCAAACUAUCACUUUACCAAUUAUCCUCUUUUUUAAACCACAUUUUUUUAGAUCAUAAAGCCCAACCAGAUUCUGGGGUCAGAAAAACUCAAUACUUACUACUGGCCAUUGCCUGAAAUCUGUCAUUCUCUAAGUGUGUGAUAUGCAUAUAUUUUGUAUGUGUGUGCAUGUGUAUGUGUUAGAUAUAUGGGAGAGUUUUAAUAAGUAGCCUGUGUAUGUGGUUU